ACAUGCAGUCGAACGAGUUCUCGUUGAUGAUCGGUGCUUGCACCGAGAUUCAACAUGGAACGAGUGGCGGACGGGUGAGUAACACGUGGGUAACCUGCCCUUAAGUGGGGGAUAACAUUUGGAAACAGAUGCUAAUACCGCAUAGAUCCAAGAACCGCAUGGUUCUUGGCUGAAAGAUGGCGUAAGCUAUCGCUUUUGGAUGGACCCGCGGCGUAUUAGCUAGUUGGUGAGGUAAUGGCUCACCAAGGCGAUGAUACGUAGCCGAACUGAGAGGUUGAUCGGCCACAUUGGGACUGAGACACGGCCCAAACUCCUACGGGAGGCAGCAGUAGGGAAUCUUCCACAAUGGACGCAAGUCUGAUGGAGCAACGCCGCGUGAGUGAAGAAGGCUUUCGGGUCGUAAAACUCUGUUGUUGGAGAAGAAUGGUCGGCAGAGUAACUGUUGUCGGCGUGACGGUAUCCAACCAGAAAGCCACGGCUAACUACGUGCCAGCAGCCGCGGUAAUACGUAGGUGGCAAGCGUUAUCCGGAUUUAUUGGGCGUAAAGCGAGCGCAGGCGGUUUUUUAAGUCUGAUGUGAAAGCCCUCGGCUUAACCGAGGAAGCGCAUCGGAAACUGGGAAACUUGAGUGCAGAAGAGGACAGUGGAACUCCAUGUGUAGCGGUGAAAUGCGUAGAUAUAUGGAAGAACACCAGUGGCGAAGGCGGCUGUCUGGUCUGUAACUGACGCUGAGGCUCGAAAGCAUGGGUAGCGAACAGGAUUAGAUACCCUGGUAGUCCAUGCCGUAAACGAUGAAUGCUAGGUGUUUGAAGGGUUUCCGCCCUUCAGUGCCGCAGCUAACGCAUUAAGCAUUCCGCCUGGGGGAGUACGACCGCAAGGUUGAAACUCAAAGGAAUUGACGGGGGCCCGCACAAGCGGUGGAGCAUGUGGGUUUAAUUCGAAGCAACGCGAAGAACCUUACCAGGUCUUGACAUCUUUUGAUCACCUGAGAAGAUCAGGUUUCCCCUUCGGGGGCAAAAU
rnacentral:rRNA from 2 species